rnacentral:lncRNA from 1 species
UUGAAAGGACGUUUCCUUUGAGACUUGAAACAUACAUAUACUUUUCUCGCUCCCUCAUAAUGCAUCCGAACAAAAAUGAAGAGCGACAUGGCAUCCGGUCACUUAUUUAUAUUCAUUUCUCUUGCAGUAAAAGAGAGAGGAAGAGACAAUAAUGAAAACUAUGUUUUUCUUUGCUUUCAACAAUUUGUCUACAUGACUAGAAUGGAAGUUGAUUUUAACUCAUGCAACCUUUAUGUCAUAGGUUUUUGGUUCUAUUUUCCUUAUUAGUUGCCAUCUAGUCUGCCUCUAUCUUGAGAAAAAGAGUAUGAUAACAAAAGGGGAAGAGCUUUAUCAUGCUAGCUAUAGUUUUCCUGAUGCGGAGACUUAACUUCUUGUGAUAACAGGUGGUUAAUACAUAACAAAUUAGACAAACUGGAAGUGCUACUACUCUGCUGCAGCCACAUUUUUAAUUCUGAAGAAUCUAGUGUUGGUAUGUCAUGGGCCAAAAAUAAUGAAGUAGUUGAUAAUUUCUUUGAUACUGGACAACAUAUGGAAGAACUGAACAACCUAAUUCAAUUGUUUGACAAGUAUAUAUUUCCUUUCAUAUUCUUUCUACUUAAUAUUCCGUGGUAUGUGGAAGUAAACGCUAAUUGCUACUCGGAGAGGGCAUAUUUUCGGUGCUUCCCAACAAUAAGUGAGGUUGGAGAUGGAACAAUAAGUGAGGUUGACAAGAGGGGUUGCUCUGAUGGUAAGCAACCCCCACUUCUAACCAAGAGAGUUUGAAUCUCCCCAAGAGUAAAGUGGGAAGUUCUGGGAGGGAAGGAUGCCGGGGGUCUGUUUGGAAACAGCCUCUCUACCCUAGGGUAGAGGUAAGGUCUGCGUACACACUACCCUCCCCAGACCCCACUAGGUAGGAUUAUACUGGGUGAUUGUUGUUGUUGUUGAAAUGGAGCAUUUAAAAAGGUAAAUUAAAUACGUAAGGUGAUAAGAAAAUUAACGGAGAUUUUAAAACUCUUUUGAUAACUAAGAGAGAUAUUGCUCUCUAUGACGUUCCAAUUCCAUAGUCCAUCCACACCACAUAAUCAAAACUUGUAGUAUGGCAUAUGUUUUUGUUGUUUCUGGCAUAGGAACUAUAAGGAAGAAGUUUUACUCUGUGGGAUAUGAUAUGUCAAGCUAAAGUGUAAACCACAAAAAUAAAUGUCAAUUAUAAGCUUAGCUCCAUUGAGUUUUAGAAAUAUAUCUAUCAUCUCACUCUUAGCUUUUGGUAAGUAAUAAUGUUAAUUUACUUUACCAUUAAAAAUCUUAUACUUCCUCGUCUGAUAAAACGUGAAUUUGUUCAAUUUAUGAUGGUUGACUUGAUUAAUACUCCUAUUAGUUGAUAGCCGAAGGGAUCGAUGAUCAAGUUUUCGCAGUUCUGCUGAUCAAGCUUUCAUUAUCUCAUUACUAUGGACGAAAAAAAGAUUCUACUCUUUCCACUUUAUUUUUCAGGAUAAGUGAUAAAUAAAAUUAUCAUUUUAUUUUCUACAGCAAAAAAUUAUUAUCAUAUCUGCUAAGUUCUCCCUUUCUUUCCCACCUAAAUAUUGUAAAAACCAUUCCAAAAGUGCUGUAUCAAGGUAAAAAUGGUGUUUUCCAUUCACUAAAAAGUUGUUGCUUGCUGCUGGACCAAGAUUUUCCUUCCAAUCCUGUUAUGUAGGAAAUUAUUGUACAAAUAUCUUAUCAUCAAAAUAUGUGGUUUAAAACUAGCUGUGAAUUCAAAUUAUUAAUAUGUUAAUCUGUUUUCAACUUUUCAGUUUGCAUGUUCUUUUGACAAGCUUUU